UACAGAGGGUGCGAGCGUAAUCGGAAUUACUGGGCGUAAAGCGUGCGUAGACGGUUAUUUAAGUCGGGUGUGAAAGCCCCGGGCUCAACCUGGGAAUUGCAUUCGAGACUGAAUAGCUAGGGUACGGUAGAGGGAAGUGGAAUUUCCGGUGUAGCGGUGAAAUGCGUAGAUAUCGGAAAGGAACAUCAGUGGCGAAAGCGACUUCC
rnacentral:rRNA from 1 species